rnacentral:rRNA from 1 species
AUUGAACGCUGGCGGCAUGCCUUACACAUGCAAGUCGAACGGCAGCAUGGAGAGCUUGCUCUCUGAUGGCGAGUGGCGAACGGGUGAGUAAAGCAUCGGAACGUACCGUGUAGUGGGGGAUAACGUAGCGAAAGUUGCGCUAAUACCGCAUACGCACUGAGGGUGAAAGUGGGGGACCGCAAGGCCUCAUGCUAUAGGAGCGGCCGAUGUCUGAUUAGCUAGUUGGUGGGGUAAAGGCCUACCAAGGCGACGAUCAGUAGCUGGUCUGAGAGGACGAUCAGUCACACUGGGACUGAGACACGGCCCAGACUCCUACGGGAGGCAGCAGUGGGGAAUUUUGGACAAUGGGCGAAAGCCUGAUCCAGCAAUGCCGCGUGUGUGAAGAAGGCCUUCGGGUCGUAAAGCACUUUUGUCCGGAAAGAAAUGGCUCCGGUUAAUACCUGGGGUCGAUGACGGUACCGGAAGAAUAAGGACCGGCUAACUACGUGCCAGCCGCCGCGGUAA